rnacentral:rRNA from 1 species
CCUACGGGAGGCAGCAGUGGGGAAUAUUGCACAAUGGGGGAAACCCUGAUGCAGCGACGCCGCGUGAGUGAAGAAGUAUUUCGGUAUGUAAAGCUCUAUCAGCAGGGAAGAAAAUGACGGUACCUGAUCAAGAAGCCCCGGCUAACUACGUGCCAGCAGCCGCGGUAAUACGUAGGGGGCAAGCGUUAUCCUGAUUUACUGGGUGUAAAGGGAGCGUAGACGGCAGGACAAGUCUGGAGUGAAAUGCCGGGGCUUAAACCGGGAACUGCUUUGGAAACUGUGCAGCUAGAGUGCAGGAGAGGGAAGUGGAAUUUCGAGGGUAGCGGUGAAAUGCGUAGAUAAUAGGAGGAACACCAGAGGCGAAGGCGGCUUACUGGACUGUAACUGACGUUGAGGCUCGAAAGCGUGGGGAGCAAACAGGAUUAGAUACCCUUGUAGUC